GACGAACGCUGGCGGCGCGCUUAACACAUGCAAGUCGAGCGAAGCGGCGGACGGGUGAGUAACACGUGAGUAACCUGCCUUAGACAUUGGGAUAGCCUCGGGUAACCGGGAUUAAUACCAAAUGGUCUAAGAUGGACUCGAGUCCCCUUAGCUAGUUGGUGAGGUAACGGCCCACCAAGGCGACGAUGGGUAGCCGGCCUGAGAGCGGGGCCGGCCACAUUGGAACUGAGAAACGGUCGAAAAUCUACGGGAGGCAGGAGUGGUGAAUAUUGCACAAUGGAGGGAACUCUGAUGCAGCGACGCUGCGUGAACGAAGUAGGCUUUCGAGUCGUAAAGUUCUUUUAUAUGGGAAGCGGUACCAGAAGAAAAAGCCCCGGCUAACUACGUGCCAGCAGCCGCGGUAAUUC
rnacentral:rRNA from 1 species